CCAUGAAUGCUUGGUGGUGGGUACGCUAAACGCGGCCUUGACCAGUCAUGUCUAAAGACGAUUGACCACAAAGCCGCCCGGAGUUCCUGAGGCGGCUUUUUU
rnacentral:ncRNA from 1 species